AGUUUGAUCAUGGCUCAGAUUGAACGCUGGCGGCAGGCUUAACACAUGCAAGUCGAGCGGGGGAGGUUACUUCGGUAACUGACCUAGCGGCGGACGGGUGAGUAAUGCUUAGGAAUCUGCCUAUUAGUGGGGGACAACAUUCCGAAAGGAAUGCUAAUACCGCAUACGUCCUACGGGGGAAAGCAGGGGAUCUUCGGACCUUGCGCUAAUAGAUGAGCCUAAGUCGGAUUAGCUAGUUGGUGGGGUAAAGGCCUACCAAGGCGACGAUCUGUAGCGGGUCUGAGAGGAUGAUCCGCCACACUGGGACUGAGACACGGCCCAGACUCCUACGGGAGGCAGCAGUGGGGAAUAUUGGACAAUGGGGGGAACCCUGAUCCAGCCAUGCCGCGUGUGUGAAGAAGGCCUUUUGGUUGUAAAGCACUUUAAGCGAGGAGGAGGCUCCUUUAGUUAAUACCUAAAGAGAGUGGACGUUACUCGCAGAAUAAGCACCGGCUAACUCUGUGCCAGCAGCCGCGGUAAUACAGAGGGUGCGAGCGUUAAUCGGAUUUACUGGGCGUAAAGCGUGCGUAGGCGGCUUUUUAAGUCGGAUGUGAAAUCCCUGAGCUUAACUUAGGAAUUGCAUUCGAUACUGGAAAGCUAGAGUAUGGGAGAGGAUGGUAGAAUUCCAGGUGUAGCGGUGAAAUGCGUAGAGAUCUGGAGGAAUACCGAUGGCGAAGGCAGCCAUCUGGCCUAAUACUGACGCUGAGGUACGAAAGCAUGGGGAGCAAACAGGAUUAGAUACCCUGGUAGU
rnacentral:rRNA from 1 species